rnacentral:rRNA from 2 species
UUAUACAGCGAAACUGCGAAUGGCUCAUUAUAUAAGUUAUCGUUUAUUUGAUAGUACCUUACUACUUGGAUAACCGUGGUAAUUCUAGAGCUAAUACAUGCUAAAAAUCCCGACUUCGGAAGGGAUGUAUUUAUUAGAUUAAAAACCAAUGCCCCUCGGGGCUCUCUGGUGAUUCAUGAUAACUUCUCGAAUCGCACGGCCUUGCGCCGGCGAUGGUUCAUUCAAAUUUCUUCCCUAUCAACUUUCGAUGUUUGGGUAGUGGCCAAACAUGGUUGCAACGGGUAACGGAGGGUUAGGGCUCGACCCCGGAGAAGGAGCCUGAGAAACGGCUACUACAUCCAAGGAAGGCAGCAGGCGCGCAAAUUACCCAAUCCCGAUUCGGGGAGGUAGUGACAAUAAAUACUGAUACAGGGCUCUUUCGGGUCUUGUAAUUGGAAUGAGUACAAUUUAAAUCCCUUAACGAGGAACAAUUGGAGGGCAAGUCUGGUGCCAGCAGCCGCGGUAAUUCCAGCUCCAAUAGCGUAUAUUAAAGUUGUUGUGGUUAAAAAGCUCGUAGUUGAACCUUGGGCCUGGCUGGCCGGUCCGCCUCACCGCGUGUCACUGGUCCGGCCGGGUCUUUCCCUCUGUGGAACCACAUGCCCUUCACUGGGCGUGGCGGGGAAACAGGACUUUUACUUUGAAAAAAUUAGAGUGCUCCAGGCAGGCCUAUGCUCGAAUACAUUAGCAUGGAAUAAUAAAAUAGGACGUGCGGUUCUAUUUUGUUGGUUUCUAGGACCGCCGUAAUGAUUAAUAGGGACAGUCGGGGGCAUCAGUAUUCAAUUGUCAGAGGUGAAAUUCUUGGAUUUAUUGAAGACUAACUACUGCGAAAGCAUUUGCCAAGGAUGUUUUCAUUAAUCAGGAACGAAAGUUAGGGGAUCGAAGACGAUCAGAUACCGUCGUAGUCUUAACCAUAAACUAUGCCGACUAGGGAUCGGACGAUGUUAUUUAGUUGACUCGUUCGGCACCUUACGAGAAAUCAAAGUGC